CAGCACCGCGGGAAUACGAAGGGUGCAAGCGUUAAUCGGAAUUACUGGGCGUAAAGCGUGCGUAGGCGGUGAGUUAAGUCUGCUGUGAAAUCCCCGGGCUCAACCUGGGAAUGGCAGUGGAUACUGGCUCGCUAGAGUGUGUCAGAGGAUGGUGGAAUUCCCGGUGUAGCGGUGAAAUGCGUAGAGAUCGGGAGGAACAUCAGUGGCGAUGGCGGCCAUCUGGGACAACACUGACGCUGAGGCACGAAAGCGUGGGGAGCAAACAGGAUUAGAUACCCGCGUAGUCCCUGUCUCUUAUACA
rnacentral:rRNA from 1 species